UACAGGGGGGGCAAGCGUUGUUCGGAAUUACUGGGCGUAAAGGGUUCGUAGGUGGCCAACUAAGUCAGACGUGAAAUCCCUCAGCUUAACUGGGGAACUGCCUCUGAUACUGGUUGGCUUGAGUGCAGGAGAGGAAUGCGGAAUUCCAGGUGUAGCGGUGAAAUGCGUAGAUAUCUGGAGGAACACCGGUGGCGAAGGCGGCAUUCUGGACUGUAACUGACACUGAGGAACGAAAGCCAGGGGAGCAAACGGG
rnacentral:rRNA from 1 species